rnacentral:rRNA from 1 species
AGAGUUUGAUUAUGGCUCAGAAUCAACGCUGGCGGCGCGCUUAACACAUGCAAGUCGAGCGAGAAAGGGGAGCAAUCCCUGAGUAAAGCGGCGUACGGGUGAGUAACACGUGGAUCAUCUACCUUCGAGUGGGGAAUAACCUUGAGAAAUUGAGGAUAAUACCGCAUAAGCCCGCAAGGGGAAAGCAGCAAUGCGCUGGAAGAGGAGUCCGCGGCCGAUUAGCUAGUUGGUGAGGUAAUGGCUCACCAAGGCGACGAUCGGUAGCCGGCCUGAGAGGGCACACGGCCACACUGGCACUGAAAUACGGGCCAGACUCCUACGGGAGGCAGCAGUGGGGAAUCUUGCACAAUGGAGGAAACUCUGAUGCAGCGACGCCGCGUGAGCGAUGAAGCCCCUCGGGGUGUAAAGCUCUUUCGGCAGGGACGAUAAUGACGGUACCUGAAGAAGAAGCCCCGGCUAACUUCGUGCCAGCAGCCGCGGUAAUACGUAGGCAGCGAGCGUUGUUCGGAAUUACUGGGCGUAAAGAGUGUGUAGGCGGUGCUCUAAGUUUGGUGUGAAAUCUCCCGGCUCAACUGGGAGGGUGCGCCGAAGACUGGAGUGCUCGAGUGUGGGAGAGGAAGCGGAAUUCCUGGUGUAGCGGUGAAAUGCGUAGAUAUCAGAGGAACACCUGUGGUGUAGACGCUUUCUGGACCAUUACUGACGCUGAGACACG